rnacentral:rRNA from 1 species
AGAGAGAGUGAACAGUGCGUGAAACCGCUCAAAGGUAAACGGGUGGAGUUGAACUGUAAGCCUUGGGAAUUCAACUGGUGAGUUUGAUAUGAGCUUGGGCAUAAUUGGUCAACUUUUGGGGUCUGCUUAAUUGCAGGUCUUCGUUCUUUAUUGGGCGAGGAUGUGCGCCGCACUUAUCAAGUGUUGUACGCUCCAAAAGUUGUGGGCCUGCUCGCCAGUGCACUUUCCCUUGGUGAUCACCACGACCGGCGUUGCUGUCUGUCUACAUUGAUCAAACCGGUUCUAUUUAGCCCUUGUGGUUGAAUUUAAUCGGGAUGGCAGGUAGCUCAUUGAUUAUAUGUUAGUUUCGGCUAACACAUUAAUCUUUGGGUGUAAUUAGCUGAUCAUUGUGGAUCUGUGCAGUACGUCGGAGAUUUCGGUCAUUGUGUGUGCAUACGUGCCUUGCUAUUUGUCUUAAGUUAGUCUGAUUAGUUGUCUACUCACACAAGUGGGUCAUCUGAUGGCUAGCUUAUGCUUGAAUAGCGGUUGCGUGUGUGACACUUAAUAGGGCCAAUAGUCAGUGGUGUUGCGGUAGACUAUCCACCUGACCCGUC